rnacentral:lncRNA from 1 species
CCGCUGCACUACUGUAUUUAUCAAAAAGGAAGGUUAUAUUUAUCAAAAAAAGGUUUUGUUUAUUAAGAACAAGGAAAAAGGAAACUGCCAAAAAUCACGUGUUGACUUAGGGUUGAAUCAGAGGCAAUUUCUCCACCAAAAAGAUGAAGGUAACCGUUACUACGCGGAGCGGCAAAGAGGUAGAACUGAAUCUGAUGAUGAUGUUCUGUUUAUGGUGGCCGGCGGCGGCAGCGUAUUUCCGGCAGAUUUGAGAUUUGAAAAAGAAUGGCUGGAAUAGAUCGAUGGGAACGAUUGUGGUUGAGAUAAUUGUAGAUGAUGAACAGGCUAUCCAAGGAUCAGAAACUCUGCUUUGAUACCAUGUUGUUUGGUAUAGAGAAUAAUCUCUGAAUUGAGUUUGAAUUGUAUUGAUAGUAAUGUGUUGUGUUAAAAAAGAUUACAUAGAGAUGGUGUAUAUAUAGAACACCAUAUUACACUCUAGCCUCUAUACUAUCUUUUUUCUUCUUUUCAACAGCUAUGUGUUGCAUAUCACUAUUACUUGUAAUU